CAGACUCCAAGAGAUAACACAGCUAUUAAUACACGGUGUCUAUAUUUUUAAUUGCACACAGUCUAUUACAAACAUGAACACAAACAAACUGUUUUGCAUAAGUUGAUGCCCAUGGUGAAUGAGCUGCAAAGUUAGUACAAAUAACGUUAAGGUGAUGGAUAUCUUCAGUAAAAUUUAAGAAUACAUGAGAGGAAUGUGAGAAAUCAAUCCUUUAAUAAGAGAUUAAGAGUUAAUUGAAAAGUAAAAUUAAAUUGAACAAGGCAGAGCCUAGAGGUUAAAGAUACAAGAGAAGAAUGUGAGAAAUCACACUGUGAGCAAACAAAUAAAUACAAACAGAUUACAGAGGUAUCACCAGUCCUUUAACAACCCCAUCACAAUUGCAAAAAAGCUGUUGGCCCAAGUCAUACUACUUUAUCGUUUACGUCCCUAUAAAACAGCCAUUCCAGGUUAUAACAGGGAAAUCAUAUUUAACAAAAAGUAAAGAAAAAGUUCACAAAUCUUCAGAUGUGCUUCACAACACCAUGGCCAUAUUGAGUUUGCACUCUUAAUUACACACUCAACCUUCACGCAACAAAUAAAAUGCAGGCUCAGAACUGAAAUUGUGUUACUCAGGAAAUUUAAAUCACCUAACAUUCUUCAAGUUCUAUGUGUAUAUAUGCUAUGGUUCAAUGUUCGGAAAAGACUGAUUACAAGAAGCAUGAAACUCAUUGCUGGUUGAAAUCAAUUUUGAGUUGGAACACGGGGACAAUGAAAGGAAUGUAACUAGAAAAAUAAUUUGUCUUUUAUUCAAUUGGAGUAUCUCUAACGCAUUGUGUACAUUAGGUUUUCCUAUUUUCUGGUUCCCUAACUCGUAUUAUCCUAUAGGCAAGAAGAUAUUGCAUAUAAGACUUUUGUUAUUUUCUUUCUCCCAUAGGAAAGAACGAACUGUGUAUUAAAAGUAAGUCAUUGAUAAAUAUAAAGAGUUUAGAUCAGGUGGCUAUAUACAUUAGGCAGUGGCUUGCGUUUCUUAUUUAUUCUUUCUCAUAUGCAGAAAGAAGUUGCUUAUAAAUAGUAUAAAGAAGGUAAAAUGAUUAAAAAAUACAACGUACUUUCACAAAUUUUUCACUUUAUACAAUGUACUAAAAAUCACGCCGAAAUAUCAAUGUACUUUGAAAAAAAAUUCACAUUAUACAAUCUGUCUAAAAUUGGCUAACGGACUACUUACGUGGCUAAUAAUUAUCUACAUGUAUUUUUUUUUUAAGAAAUGUUGAGUUGUAAAAUUAAAACCAACACAUCUACUUUAAAGCGUGUCAUCAGAUCAUGUCAACAAAUGUUUACAUCUAAACCGUCUAUUAAUCCCAAGAUGUUAGAGAUAUAGAUGUAUUAUUUUUUUUUAGUUGUUAUCUCUAUGAUAGAAAAUAUCAAACAUAGGAAACUAUGAAACCCUAAAUCAACAUUUCUUCCAUCUCUCUUUCUCAUGGCAACAUUGAACCCUAAAUCUUCUCUUUAAUUCUUCAAACCCUAAUUUUAAUUAAUCAUUUUCUCACAACUAAAACCCCUACUUUCAAUCAAACACUAAUGUAUGGUGAAUUGGUGAAUCUCAAGAAAGAAUCGGUGUGGAACAAUCUUGUUGUGUGUGUACAAGAAAAAUCUUCUUUCAAGUAAGUAGUAGUUAGUUUAACACUAAAAGAUGAAGACACAAAAGCUAGGGUUUGAAAUUGAAUUGGAGAUUUGAAUUGAGGAUUUACAGAUUUGGGGAUUUUUACAAUUGUUGAAUUAAAUUGUUAAAAUAUGGAAGAAGGAGGUCAAUCAUGUGAGAAACAUGUGCCUCAUUUGAUUUGUUGGAAAUGUUUUGUAAAUUUUUUUUUUUUAAAAUAUACGUAGAUAAUUAUUGGCCACGUAAGCAGUCUGUUAGCUAGUUUUAGACAGAUUGUAUAACGUGAAAUUUUUUUCAAAGUACAUUGAUAUUUUGACGAUAUUUUUAGUACAUUGUAUAAAGUGAAAAAUUUGUGAAAAAGUACGUUGUAUCUUUUGAUCAUUUUACCUAUAAAGAAUUUUAGCAAUUGUAACAUUAAAAGAGUUUUGACCAUGUGAUCCUAUAUAUAUUACACCACUGAAUCGCUCCAUCCCUUUUUCUCGUCUAAUAUGUAUUAAAAUAUUAAAUUUUAAUGAGCUUUCAUUCAUAUGCAGAAACAAAUUGCGUAAAUUAUAAACAUAAAAAAAAAAAAAUACACAACAACAACAACAUUCGCAUAGAUUAAAAUUAUAGAAAAACCAAAUUUUAGGCAUUAGAGAUUGUUUAGAAUAGGAUUUUCUGACAAUUUCAGAACGUUCUAUCCUCCUAUAUCCUUUCUAGCGCUAAUGUGCAUUCUAUCCCUCCUGCUCUGUACAACCUCCUAUAUCCUUUCUAGCACUAAUGUGUAUUCUAUCGCUCCUGCUCUGCACAAUGCAUUAGUCUUAGAGAUGCUCUUAUUCUCAUUUUUUUUAAGUUGUCAUUCUAAUGUUACACUCAAAUUCAGCAAAGAGGCACUAACAAGAGUUGCAUUUGUGUGAUUUUGUCAUUUAAGUGUACAAGCUAGCAAUUUGACAACUAGAGUUCUUCACAAUGGUUAAUGGUUAUCUAGAUGCAUGUCUAUGUAUACAACUGGCACAACCAACAUAACAUAAAACAAUGACACAAAAAAAAAAACAGUUGCAUACCGUUGAAAUGUGAUGUUGAAUUUAGCACUCCAUCUUCACCAUUGUACCUUAGUAGUCGAUUUGAAUGGGACAAGACUCGGAAUGUAAGACAUUAUUUUAAGAGGUGCAUUUUCGAUUCCACGAAUCUUGAGCUUUCUAGCUGUUCUUUGUUUUGAAUCAUAAAUAACUAAAUGGAUGCUAUCAGAGAUUAAAAUCUUAUCACUGUUGAAGAAGUGCAAUGGUAUCACCCGACUACCAAUUUCGUCAUUCUUGUUAAGGAUGGUGCGUGACCUCAAACGGCAUACCGAAGGAAAAAGUGUUUCAUCAAUGGCAAAUUGUUGAGUCCAUGAAUCCAUUAGACCAUAAUUGUUCAUUGCCCAAAUUUGAAUAUUACCAGUAGGGAAAUAACAUAACAUAGAAAGUUUUCCUCUCAGAAUCCGAACUCCGGUAAUACUAGCUCUUUCCCUAAACUGAUUGGGUGACAACAGCUGUUGAAAACUUGUCCCCUUCAUGUCAAAAGAGACUAUAGUUUCAAUCUCAAGUCUAUCUUCAUGAACUGCUACCCAAUGAAGAGAUCCAUUAAGGUAAAUCCCAGGAAUAUCUCCAUUUAAAAUUCUGUAAGGGACACCAAAGGUACUCAGACAUGUAGCUUGUCCAUCAUUAUUCAGGGAGUAAACAUCAACUAGAGAAUCACAGUCAUCAUAAAUAGACAAACUGCGGCGAACAUUUACAAGUUUGUAUUCACCAACAACAGAAUCAUAAGCAAGGCCAAAAGCAGAACAAUCAUGAACAUAUAAGGAUUUUCCUACAUUAAAAAACUUGCACUCUUUAGUACAAGGAUUCAGUAGGCAUAACUUAGACGGUGGCAUACACAAGCAAAUAAACCCAUUACAAGUAGCAAAAACUUCGGUUUCAGUACCAAUUUCUUUAAAUGGAUUUAUGAUAUGUUCUGCAUCAACUUCCUCAUCAUCAAAAGAAGAAAAGGAAGAAGAAUAAAACUGUGUCCUUCGUUUAAUACUAUAAAUAGUUGAUAAGAAAUUGGGACAAUUUAUUUCCAUUGAUCGAUUCAAGUGGGUUUGAAUAAAAUUAGAAAAAGGAUCUGUCAUCAAAUCGCACCAAGGUUUGUAUACCAACCUGAAUUGUUCUCUGAGUGAUUUUGCUGGAAGCCUCGUGAGAAUCUCGAAGAUUAUAUCAUCAUGAAUAAUAGCAUCUGUUGUUGACAUUAUUGUUUUUUGAAUUGCAAGAUUCUCUUCUUCGAAUCGUGAACCAGUAUGUGUUGUUGACAUUUUUUUCUAAAUGUAUUUAGGGUUUCUGAGAAUUUUUAGAUCGAGAGAGCUAUCCGCCGCCACUCUUUCUCUCUAGCAGUAUCGGGUUUUAUAGAUCAAAAGAAUUGGGCCGUAGGACCAAAUUCCAAUUCUCUUCUUUCAAGUUUCAACAACUCAUAAACGUCCGUGAGCCCGUAACCAGAUCUACAGACAGAAACUUUGGCUAUGAACUCUAUAACGUACAGGAGCGAAAUAUUCUCAGCAAUAUUAUCUAUGCAAAUUUUGAGGACCAUCGUUAAUUCAUUAUACUAAAUCUUUGAGAACCAUCGUUAAUUCAUUAUACUAAAUCUUUGAUAUUUGUGUAGAUUUUGUAGAAGCAACUUAUGUCGGUAACACAUAGGGAAUAUUUGUUUUGUUUAGUUAGAUAGUUAAUAUCACCUAAAAUUUAAGUGGGGUGUGCGUGCGUCAAGAGCAGGAACAGUCAGACCAGUAAAGUUUUUGGCACUCAAAUGUCGAAAUUUGCGUUACCCCCAUUUGAAAAAAUAUAGCACUUACCCCUCAAUUGUAUGGAAAAAAUAGACGAUGUUACAAAAAUUAAUUUUUAAAUUUUCGUAAAAUAAAAUAUUUUGAUAAUACCAAAACUACUCUUUUUUAAACAUGUAAAUAAUAAACAUAAUUAGUAAAAUCCCACCACUGAAACAUAAAUAAUUAACAAUACCCCAAAUCGAUUUGCAAAAGAAUUUGAAGGAGAAGAUAAAUUUUUAGGAAAAAAGAUGAAAUUUGUUUAAGAAAUUUGUUAAAUUUAAAGAACAUGAAAUUUAUUUGAGAAAAAUUAGGUUUAUUUAUAAACUUUGGGGGAUUUUGGAUUUUUGGAAAAAACAACAAAGUUGACCGUUAGAUUAAGUACUAAAUAGAUGGAUAAGAUUAUGACACAUGUCAUUAUUACUAGAAUAAAAAAGGUACUUUUGGUAUUAUCGAAAUAUUUUAUUUAAAAAAAUUUUAAAAAUUGAUUUUUGUAACACCGUUAAAUUUUUCCAUCCAGUUGGGGGUAACUGCUAUAUUUUUUCAUAUAGGGGUAACUCAAAUUUCGACUAUCAAAUGGGAGGUAAGUGCCUAAAGAGUUAAUUGUUUUUUCUGUCUAAGAAAUAAUUUCUUGCAUCUAUCUUAUUUUUUUUUAUUUAUUGUAGAUUAUGAAACUGGUGCCAUAUUAUGGAGAGUUUGAUUCCAUACACUGAUGUGGAUCUGUUGGUGCAGAAUCCUUAAAUUGAAGAAGAUUAACAUUUCAUCAGACUCCAAGAGAUAACACAGCUAUUAAUACACGGAGUCUAUAUUUUUAAGUGCACACAGUCUAUUACAAACAUGAACACAAACAAACUGUUUUGCAUAAGUUGAUGCCCAUGGUGAAUGAGCUGCAAAGUUAGUACAAAUAACGUUAAGGUGAUGGAUAUCUUCAGUAAAAUUUAAGAAUACAUGAGAGGAAUGUGAGAAAUCAAUCCUUUAAUAAGAGAUUAGGAGUUAAUUGAAAAGUAAAAUUAAAUUGAACAAGGCAGAGCCUAGAGGUUAAAGAUACAAAAGAAGAAGGUGAGAAAUCACACUGUGAGCAAACAAAUAAAUACAAACAGAUUACAGAGGUAUCACCAGUCCUUUAACAACCCCAUCACAAUUGCAAAAAAAGCUGUUGGCCCACGACAUACUACUUUAUCGUUUACGUCCCUAUAAAACAGCCAUUCCAGGUUAUAACAGAGAAAUCAUAUUUAACAAAAAGUAAAGAACAAAAAGUAAAGAAACGGUUCACAAAUCUUCAGAUGUGCUUCACAACACCAUGGCCAUAUUGAGUUUGCACUCUUAAUUACACACUCAACCUUCAAGCAACAAAUAAAAUGCAGGUUCAGAACUGAGAUUGUGUUACUCAGUCAAUUUAAAUCACUUAACAUUCUUCAAGUUCUAUGUGUAUAUAGGCUGUGGUUCAAUGUUCGGAAAAGACUGAUUACAAGAAGCAUGAAACUCAUUGCUGGUCGAAAUCAAUUUUGAGUUGGAACACGGGGACAAUGAAAGGAAUGUAACUAGAAAAAUAAUUUGUCUUUCAUUCAAUUGGAGGAUCUCUAACGCAUUGUGUACAUUAGGUUUUCCUAUUUUCUGGUUCCCUAACUCGCAUUCUUUAGGCAAGAAGAUAUUGCAUAUAAGACUUUUGUUAUUUUCUUUCUCCCAUAGGCAAGAAGGAACUGUGUAUUAAAAGUUUAAGUCAGUGAUAAAUAUAAAGAGUUUAGGUCAGGUGGCUAUAUACAUUAGACAGUGGCUUGCGUUUCUUAUUUAUUCUUUCUCAUAUGCAGAAAGAAGCUACUUAUAAAGAGUAUAAAGAAGGUAAAAUGAUUAAAAAAUACAAUGUACUUUCACAAAUUUUUCACUUUAUACAAUGUACUAAAAUCACGCCAAAAAAUCAAUUUACUUUGAAAAAAAAUUCACGUUAUACAAUCUGUCUAAAAUUGACUAACGGACUGCUUACGUGACUAAUAAUUAUCUACAUGUAUUUAUUUUUUUUAAAGAAAUGCUGAGUUGUAAAAUUAAAAUCAACACAUCUACUUUAAAACGUGUCAUCAGAUCAUGUCAACAAAUGUUUACAUCUAAACCGUCCAUUAAUCCCAAGAUGUUAGAGAUAUAGAUGUAUUAUUUUUUUUAUUGUUAUCUCUAUGAUAGAAAAUAUCAAACAUAGGAACUAUGAAACCCUAAAUCAACAUUUCUUCCAUCUCUCUUUCUCAUUGCAACAUUGAACCCUAAAUCUUCUCUUUAAUUCUUCAAACCCUAAUUUUAAUUAACCAUUUUCUCACAACUAAAACCCCUACUUUCAAUCAAACACUAAUGUAUGGUGAAUUGGUGAAUCUCAAAAAGAAUCGGUGUGGAACAAUCUUGUUGUGUGUGUACAAGAAAAAUCUUCUUUCAAAUAAGUAGUAAGUAGUAGUUAGUUUAACACUAAAAGAUGAAGACACAAAAGCUAGGGUUUGAAAUUGAAUUGGAGAUUUGAAUUGAGGAUUUACAGAUUUGGGGAUUUUUACAAUUGUGAAUUCAAUUGUUAAAAUAGGGAAGAAGGGGGUCAAUAAUAUGAGAAACAUGUGCCUCAUUUGUUUAAUUUUUUUUUUAAAAAAAAUACACGUAGAUAAUUAUUGGCCACGUAAGCAAUCUGUUAGCUAAAGUUUUAAACAGAUUGUAUAACGUGAAUUUUUUUUCAAAGUAAAUUGUUAUUUUGACGUGAUUUUUAGUACAUUGUAUAAAGUGAAAAAAUUGUGAAAAAGUACGUUGUAUUUUUUGAUCAUUUUACCUCAAAAGAAUUUUAGCAAUUGUAACAUUAAAAGAGUUUAGACCAUGUGAUCCUAUAUACAUUACACCACUGAAUCGCUCCAUCCCCUUUUCUCGUCUAAUAUGUAUUAAAAUAUUAAAUUAUAAUGAGCUUUCAUUCAUACGCAGAAACAAAUUGCGUAAAUUAUAAACAUAAAAAAAAAAAUACACAACAACAACAUUCGCAUAGAUUAAAAUUAUAGAAAAACCAAAUUUUAGGUAUUAGAGAUUGUUUAGAAUAGGAUUUUCUGACAAUUUCAGAACGCUCUAUUCUCCUAUAUCCUUUCUAGCGCUAAUGUGUAUUCUAUCCCUCCUGCUCUGCACAACGCAUUAGUCUUAGAGAUGCUCUUAUUCUCAUUUUUUUUAAGUUGUCAUUCUAAUGUUACAUUCAAAUUCAGCAAAGAGGCACUAACAAGAGUUGCAUUUGUGUGAUUUUGUCAUUUAAGUGUACAAGCUAGCAAUUUGACAACUAGAGUUUUUCACAAUGGUUAAUGGUUAUCUAGAUGCCUGUCUAUGUAUACAACUGGCACAACCAACGCAACAUAAAACAAAGACAGAAAAAGAAAACAGUUGCAUACCGUUGAAAAGUGAUGUUGAAUUUAGCACUCCAUCUUCACCAUUGUACCUUAGUAGCCGAUUUGAAUGGGACAAGACUCGGAAUGUAAGACAUUACUUUAAGAGGCGCAUUUUUGAUUCCACGAAUCUUGAGCUUUCUAGUUGUUCUUUGUUUUGAAUCAUAAAGAACUAAAUGGAUGCUAUCAAAGAUUAAAAUCUUAUCACUAUUGAAGAAGUGCAAUGGUAUCACCCGCCUACCAAUUUCGUCAUUCUUGUUAAGAAUGGUGCAUGACCUCAAACGGCAUACCGAAGGAAAAAGUGUUUCAUCAAUGGCAAAUUGUUGAGUCCAUGAAUCCAUUAGACCAUAAUUGUUCAUUGCCCAAAUUUGAAUAUUACCAGUAGGGAAAUAACAUAACAUAGAAAGUUUUCCUCUCAGAAUCCCAACUCCGGUAAUACUAGCUCUUUCCCUAAACUGAUUAGGUGACAACAGGUGUUGAAAGCUUGUCCCCUUCAUGUCAAAAGAGACUAUAGUUUCAAUCUCAAGUCUAUCUUCAUGAACUGCUACCCAAUGAAGAGAUCCAUUAAGGUAAAUCCCAGGAAUAUCUCCAUUUAAAAUUCUGUAAGGGACACCAAAGGUACUCAGACAUGUAGCUUGUCCAUCAUUAUUCAGGGAGUAAACAUCAACUAGAGAAUCACAGUCAUCAUAAAUAGACAAACUGCGGCGAACAUUUACAAGUUUGUAUUCACCAACAACAGAAUCAUAAGCAAGGCCAAAAGCAGAACAAUCAUGAACAUAUAAGGAUUUUCCUACAUUAAAAAACUUGCACUCUCUAGUACAAGGAUUCAGUAGGCAUAACUUAGACGGUGGCAUACACAAGCAAAUAAACCCAUUACAAGUAGCCAAAACUUCGGUUUCAGAACCAAUUUCUUUAAAUGGAUUUAUGAUAUGUUCUGCAUCAACUUCCUCAUCAUCAAAAGAAGAAAAGGAAGAAGAAUAAAACUGUGUCCUUCGUUCAAUACUAUAAAUAGUUGAUAAGAAAUUGGGACAAUUUAUUUCCAUUGAUCGAUUCAAGUGGGUUUGAAUAAAAUUAGAAAAAGGAUCUGUCAUCAAAUCGCACCAAGGUUUGUAUACCAAACUGAAUUGUUCUCUGAGUGAUUUUGCUGGAAGCCUCGUUAGAAUCUCGAAGAUUAUAUCAUCAUGAAUAAUAGCAUCUGUUGUUGACAUUAUUGUUUUUUGAAUUGCGAGAUUCUCUUCUUCGAAUCGUGAACCAGUAUGUGUUGUUGACAUUUUUUUCUAAAUCAAUUCGUAUUUAGGGUUUCUGAGAAUUUUUAGAUUGAGAGAGCUAUCCGCCGCCACUCUUUCUCUCUAGCAGUAUCGGGUUUUAUAGAUCAAAAGAAUUGGGCCGUACGACCAAAUUCCAAUUUUCUUCUUUCAAGUUUCAACAACUCAUAAGCGUCCGUGAGCCCGUAACCAGAUCUACAGACAGAAACUUUGGCUAUGAACUCUAUAACGUACAGGAGCGAAAUAUUCUCAGCAAUAUUAUCUAUGCAAAUUUUGAGGACCAUCAUUAAUUCAUUAUACUAAAUCUUUGAGAACCAUCGUUAAUUCAUUAUACUAAAUCUUUGAUAUUUGUGUAGAUUUUGUAGAAGCAACUUAUGUCGGUAACACAUAGGGAAUAAUUGUUUUGUUUAGUUAGAUAGUUAAUCACCUACAAUUUAAGGGGGGUGUGCGUGCGUCAAGAGCAGGAACAGUCACACCAGUAAAGUUUUUGGCACUCAAAUGUCGAAAUUUGCGUUACUCCCCAUUUGAAAAAAUAUAGCACUUACCCCUCAAUUGUAUGGAAAAAAUAGACGAUGUUACAAAAAUUAAUUUUUAAAUUUUCGUAAAAUAAAAUAUUUUGAUAAUACCAAAACUACUCUUCUUUAAACAUGUAAAUAAUAAACAUAAUUAGUAAAAUCCCACCACUGAAACAUAAAUAAUUAACAAUACCUCAAAUCGAUUUACAAAAGAAUUUGAAGGAGAAGAUGAAUUUUUAGGAAAAAAGAUGAAAUUUGUUUGAGAAAUUUGUUAAAUUUAAAAAACAUGAAAUUUAUUUGAGAAAAAUUAGGUUUAUUUAUAAACUUUGGGGGAUUUUGGAUUUUUGGGAAAGACAACAAAGUUGACCGUUAGAUUAAGUACUAAAUAGAUGGAUAAGAUUAUGACACAUGUCAUUAUUACUAGAAUAAAAAAGAUAUUUUUGGUAUUAUCAAAAUAUUUUAUGCCAACAAGGAUGACACAUCGCUUUCUAUGCUGCUUGUGGACUUUCAGAAUGCCUUCAACCUUGUUGAUCGGUCUGCUAUGCUACGAGAGGUACGCAAUCAUUGUCCAUCUAUUGCUCUAUGGGUCGAAUACCUCUAUUGUCAACCUGCUCGAUUGUAUCUAGGGUCUACUCAUAUCUGGUCAGCAGCUGGGAUACAGCAGGGGGACCCUUUGGGGCCUCUUCUCUUUGCUUUGGUCUUGCAUCCAUUGAUACACCGCAUUCAGUCAGAAUGCCACUUGGAGUUGCAGGCAUGGUACUUAGAUGAUGGUACUCUGAUUGGUAAUACAGAACAGGUGGCUAGAGCUAUUCGUAUCAUUCAGGAAAGAGGACCACCUCUUGGGCUCGUGCUUAAUGUUUCUAAGACAGAGUUGUUCUGGCCUUCUGUUAAUCCUGUAUGCUCCUAUCCAGAUAUCUUUCCGGCUGGUAUAUCAUGUCCUCAGCGAGGGGUUAAGUUGCUUGGAGGGGCUGUAAGUAUUGAUGCAUCCUUUAUUAUGGGUAAUGUUCGUCAACGAGUGGAUAAGACACUUCAGCUUAUGGAUUUAUUACCACAACUACAGGAUCCGCAAUGUGAGCUGGCACUUUUACGUUGUUGUAUGGGAAUAUCUAAGCUCACAUUUGCUCUCCGUACUUGCCCCCCUGAUUAUGUUCAGGAAACAGCCGAAUGGUUUGACCACAAGCUCCGUGCAGCCCUUCAGAAUAUUGUGGUUUCUGAUGGACCUGGUUUUGGCGAUCUACAGUGGCGUAUGGCAACCCUCCCAUUGCGUAUGGGCGGACUUGGUAUUUAUUGUACUACUGAUGUUAUGAAGUUUGCUUUCGUAGCUUCACGUACGCAAACCAAGGAUCUCCAAGACCACAUUCUUCGGGGUUGUGCGGCUGCACCUAUGGGUAAUGUUUUCGAUACUGCCAUUGCUAGUUUACAUCUUUCUAUACCUGAUUUUGAUCUCAGUAAUCUUGCUCCAACUGCUACCGUCCCCUUCAGACCCCAACAUGUCUUGGCGGAAGCAUACUACAGCAAGAUUAGUUAUGGUCUUGAGAGGGAAUUUGAGUUGUCAGCUAGACAAAAAGCCGUGAUUGGAUGUGUGCAAGCAGAACAUGCCAAAGAUUUUCUCCUUGCCAUCCCGAUGGAAGGGCUUGGACAACGCAUGACGCCGGUAGAAUAUCGUGCCAUUCUUCGUUAUCGAUUGAUGAUCCCUCUUUAUUCAGAUGGUGAACUUUGUCCAGUGUGCAAGAAGAGCAGACUUGAUGCCUUUGGGGACCAUGCGGCCCAUUGUAAGCAUUACCCCGGCUUCAAGUACAGGCAUGACCACGUUAGAGAUAUCUUGUGUGAUGUGUUCUGGCGGGCUGGAGUACAGGUUAAGAAGGAGGCUCCUGUUAACUUUCUUACUGAUCCUAAGGAAGGAAGAUCGACAUUACGUCCUGCUGAUAUUCUGGUCUAUAACUGGUCUGAAGGUAAACAUGCGUGUGUUGAUGUUACAGGGGCGUCUCCGAUGGUUGGCCUGGGUGCUGGGAUUUUUGAGGUGGGGCUAGCAGCUAGCAAUGCAGCAGCAGCAAAAGUGGAGAAACAUGACGGAGCUUGUAGGGCUAACCAACAUAGUUUCAUCCCCUUUGCAUUUGACACAUUUGGAUUGCUAGGCUCAGAAGCAGUUGAGCUCCUCAGGAGAGUGCAAAAGGUAAUGGAUAGCAACGUGAUGACUGCUGGUUCGAACGAAUAUGUAUUUAGGAGAAUCGGGUUUGCUAUCCAGAAAGGACUUGUCGCGCAGUUUGUAGCGCGUUUGUCCUUUACUUUUGUGUAAUUUGUUGAGCUUAUCAAUAAAAUUUUAUUAUUAGGAAAAAAAAUUUAAAAAUUGAUUUUUGUAACACCGUUAAAUUUUUCCAUCCAGUUGGGGGUAACUGCUAUAUUUUCUCAAAUAGGGGUAACACAAAUUUCGACUUUCAAAUGGGAGGUAAGUGCCAAAAUCUCAAUUUUUUAUCAUUCUGGUCCCCAACUUAACUUGAUCAAGGGAGUUAAUUGUUUUUUCGUCUAAGAAAUAAUUUCUUGCAUCUAUCUUAUUUUUUUUUAUUUAUUGUAGAUUAUGAAACUGGUGCCAUAUUAUGGAGAGUUUGAUUCCAUACACUGAUGUGGAUCUGUUGGUGCAGAAUCCUUAAAUUGAAGAAGAUUAACAUUUCAUCAGACUCCAAGAGAUAACGCAGCUAUUAAUACACGGUGUCUAUAUUUUUAAGUGCACACAGUCUAUUACAAAUAUGAACACAAACAAACUGUUUUGCAUAAGUUGAUGCCCAUGGUGAAUGAGAUGCAAAGUUAGUACAAAUAAGGUAAAAUGAUCCAAAAAUACAAUGUACUUUCACUUUUUUUUCACUUUAUACAAUGUACAAAAAAUCACGUCAAAACAUCAAUGUACUUUGAAAUUUUUUCCACGUUAUACAAUCUGUCUAAAACAUGCUAACGGACUGCAGACGUGGCUAAUAUUUAUCUACGUGUAUUUUUUCUUUUAAAAUAAAGUUAAACAACAUUUCCAACACAUCAAAAUGAGGCACAUGUUUCUCAUGUGAUUGACUCCUUCUCUAUUUUCACAAUUCAAUUCAACAAAUCUGUAAAUCCCUAAUUAAAAUCCCGAAUUCAAUUCAACAAAUCUGUAUCUUUCAAGAAUGGUACAAAGAUCAAUUAUGUUUCUUUCAUCUCUAAACACCUUUGCCUGAGAUUAAUAAUUUUUGUUAAAACAAAGAACAAACUACAAUACUACAUGAAAUGAUUGAGAGAACUAAGAAGAGUGAUGAGAAACAAAAACUUUAUUACCUGGGAGAUUUGAUAUAUGAAAAUGGGAGAUUUGUUAAAAGUCAAUAAAUGAUAUAUGAAAAUAGGAGAUUUGAAGUAUACUUAAUUAAACAACAUAAGAUAUUAAUGUUUUGUUGUGUUUAUAUCAACAUCGACAACUGAAAUAGCUGAAGGUGUUUUCUCUUAUUAUCAUCUUUAGAUGGACAGUCUCUCUAACAAGCCUAAUUUGCUUCAAUGCCGUCAUUUUUCAUUUCCUCCAUAGUACUGUACUGUUCUUCUUAUAUUUCGGUUACUCUUGGCAUUGUAUUCACUUCAUUGAUUUCAACUUCACCCCCUGAUUCAGAGAUCUUUGUGAUCCUCUGCAACUCCUCGAAAUCAUCAGUAGGGUGUGCAAUCAGAUGAUUGCCAUUGCCAUUUGAUUGUUCUGCAAGAAUUCAAAGUGAGAAAAAUUGGGGAUUUUAAUUAGGGAUUUACAGAUUUGUUGAAUUGAAUUGUGAAAAUAGAGAAGAAGUCAGUCACAUGAGAAACAUGUGCCUCAUUUUGAUGUGUUGGAAAUGUUGUUUAACUUUAUUUUAAAAGAAAAAAUACACGUAGAUAAAUAUUAGCCACGUCUGCAGUCCGUUAGCAUGUUUUAGACAGAUUGUAUAACGUGGAAAAAAUUUCAAAGUACAUUGAUGUUUUGACGUGAUUUUUUGUACAUUGUAUAAAGUGAAAAAAAAGUGAAAGUACGUUGUAUUUUUUGAUCAUUUUACCUACAAAUAACGUUAAAGUGAUGGAUAUCUUCAGUAAAAUUUAAGAAUACAUGAGAGGAAUGUGAGAAAUCAAUCCUUUAAUAAGAGAUUAGGAGUUAAUUGAAAAGUAAAAUUAAAUUGAACAAGGCAGAGCCUAGAGGUUAAAGAUACAAGAGAAGAAUGUGAGAAAUCACACUGUGAGCAAACAAAUAAAUACAAACAGAUUACAGAGGUAUCACCAGUCCUUUAACAACCCCAUCACAAUUGCGAAAAAGCUGUUGGCCCACGACAUACUACUUUAUCGUUUACGUCCCUAUAAAACAGCCAUUCCAGGUUAUAACAGGGAAAUCAUAUUUAACAAAAAGUAAAGAAACGGUUCACAAAUCUUCAGAUGUGCUUCACAACACCAUGGCCAUAUUGAGUUUGCACUCUUGAUUACACACUCAACCUUCAAGCAACAAAUAAAAUGCAGGUUCAGAACUGAGAUUGUGUUACUCAGUCAAUUUAAAUCACUUAACAUUCUUCAAGUUCUAUGUGUAUAUAGGCUGUGGUUCAAUGUUCGGAAAAGACUGAUUACAAGAAGCAUGAAACUCAUUGCUGGUCGAAAUCAAUUUUGAGUUGGAAC
rnacentral:lncRNA from 1 species